UACGUAGGGUGCGAGCGUUGUCCGGAAUUAUUGGGCGUAAAGAGCUUGUAGGCGGUUUGUCGCGUCUGCUGUGAAAAUCCGGGGCUCAACCCCGGACUUGCAGUGGGUACGGGCAGACUAGAGUGUGGUAGGGGAGACUGGAAUUCCUGGUGUAGUGGUGGAAUGCGCAGAUAUCAGGAGGAACACCGAUGGCGAAGGCAGGUCUCUGGGCCACUACUGACGCUGAGGAGCGGAAGCGUGGGGAGCAAACAGG
rnacentral:rRNA from 1 species